AUUGAACGCUGGCGGCAGGCCUAACACAUGCAAGUCGAACGAGUGGCGGACGGGUGAGUAAUGUCUGGGAAACUGCCUGAUGGAGGGGGAUAACUACUGGAAACGGUAGCUAAUACCGCAUACCAUCAUAUGUGCCCAGAUGGGAUUAGCUAGUUGGUGGGGUAACGGCUCACCAAGGCGACGAGCCCUAGCUGGUCUGAGAGGAUGACCAGCAAAACUGGAACGGAGAACCGGUCAAGAUCCCUACGGGAGGAAGCAUGGGGGAAUAUUGCACAAGGGGGACAAGCUGGAGGAAGCAAGGCCGCGUGUAUGUGGAAGGCCUUCGGGUUGUAAAGUCCUUUCAGCGGGGAGGCGGUACCCGCAGAAGAAGCACCGGCUAACUACGUGCCAGCAGCCGCGGUAAUUC
rnacentral:rRNA from 1 species